rnacentral:rRNA from 1 species
AUUGAACGCUGGCGGCAUGCCUUACACAUGCAAGUCGAACGGCAUCGCGGGAAAGCUUGCUUUCCUGGCGGCGAGUGGCGCACGGGUGAGUAACACAUCGGAACGUACCGGCUAGUGGGGGAUAACCCGUCGAAAGACGGGCUAAUACCGCAUACGCUCUUCGGAGGAAAGCAGGGGACCUUUGGGCCUUGCGCUAGCCGAGCGGCCGAUGUCCGAUUAGCUAGUUGGUGGGGUAAAGGCCUACCAAGGCGACGAUCGGUAGCGGGUCUGAGAGGACGAUCCGCCACACUGGGACUGAGACACGGCCCAGACUCCUACGGGAGGCAGCAGUGGGGAAUCUUGGACAAUGGGGGCAACCCUGAUCCAGCAAUGCCGCGUGGGUGAAGAAGGCCUUCGGGUUGUAAAGCCCUUUCGGCAGGGAAGAAAUCGGCGGGGCGAAUAACCCUGCUGGAUGACGGUACCUGCAGAAGAAGCACCGGCUAACUACGUG